rnacentral:rRNA from 1 species
CAGCCGCCACGGUAAUACGUAGGUGGCAAGCGUUGUCCGGAAUUAUUGGGCGUAAAGGGCUCGCAGGCGGUUUCUUAAGUCUGAUGUGAAAGCCCCCGGCUCAACCGGGGAGGGUCAUUGGAAACUGGGAAACUUGAGUGCAGAAGAGGAGAGUGGAAUUCCACGUGUAGCGGUGAAAUGCGUAGAGAUGUGGAGGAACACCAGUGGCGAAGGCGACUCUCUGGUCUGUAACUGACGCUGAGGAGCGAAAGCGUGGGGAGCAAACAGGAUUAGAUACCCGGGUAGUCCCUGUCUCUUAUAA